UACGAAGGGGGGCUAGCGUUGCUCGGAAUCACUGGGCGUAAAGAGCUCGUAGGUGGUUUGUCGCGUUGUUCGUGAAAAACUCACAGCUCAACUGUGGGCGUGCGGGCGAUACGGGCAGACUGGAGUACUGCAGGGGAGACUGGAAUUCCUGGUGUAGCGGUGGAAUGCGCAGAUAUCAGGAGGAACACCGGUGGCGAAGGCAGCUCGCUGGGGACGCUACUGACGCUGAGACGCGAAAGCGUGGGGAGCAAACAGG
rnacentral:rRNA from 1 species